rnacentral:rRNA from 1 species
GACGAACGCUGGCGGCGUGCUUAACACAUGCAAGUCGAACGGAAAGGCCCUGCUUUUGUGGGGUGCUCGAGUGGCGAACGGGUGAGUAACACGUGAGUAACCUGCCCUUGACUUUGGGAUAACUUCAGGAAACUGGGGCUAAUACCGGAUAGGAGCUCCUGGUGCAUGGUGGGGGUUGGAAAGUUUCGGCGGUUGGGGAUGGACUCGCGGCUUAUCAGCUUGUUGGUGGGGUAGUGGCUUACCAAGGCUUUGACGGGUAGCCGGCCUGAGAGGGUGACCGGCCACAUUGGGACUGAGAUACGGCCCAGACUCCUACGGGAGGCAGCAGUGGGGAAUAUUGCAUAAUGGGCGGAAGCCUGAUGCAGCAACGCCGCGUGCGGGAUGACGGCCUUCGGGUUGUAAACCGCUUUCGCCUGUGACGAAGCGUGAGUGACGGUAAUGGGUAAAGAAGCACCGGCUAACUACGUG